AGUGGAUGGGGAGCAACCUAUGUUGUGCGUGUGUAAAGGUAGUGCCAAGAAAAGCGAUGAUCAUGUUGAAAAUCAAUUCCCGGUACCCGAAACCGACACAGGUGGGCAAGUAGAGAAUACUAAGGGGCGCGAGGUAACUCUCUCCAAGGAACUCGGCAAAAUGACCCCGUAACUUAGGGAGAAGGGGUGCCACCGAGAGGUGGUCGCAGUGAAGAGGCCCAGGCGACUGUUUAGCAAAAACAUAGGUCUCUGCAAACUCGAAAGAGGAGGUAUAGGGGCUGACGCCUGCCCAGUGCCGGAAGGUUAAAGAAGUUGGUCAGUUUUAGGAUGAAGCUAGCGACUGAAGCCCCGGUGAACGGCGGCCGUAACUAUAACGGUCCUAAGGUAGCGAAAUUCCUUGUCGGGUAAGUUCCGACCCGCACGAAAGGCGUAACGAUCUGGGCGCUGUCUCGGAGAGAGGCUCGGCGAAAUAGGAUUGUCUGUGAAGAUACGGACUACCUGCAUUUGGACAGAAAGACCCUAUGAAGCUUUACUAUAGCUUGGAAUUGUGUUCGGGCUUCCUGUGCGCAGGAUAGGUGGGAGGCGUAGAAGGUAUUCUUGUGGGGAUACUGGAGCCAACGGUGAGAUACCACUCUCAGGAGGCUAGAAUUCUAACUUAAUUAAGGACAGUUUCAGGUGGGUAGUUUGACUGGGGCGGUCGCCUCCAAAAAGGUAACGGAGGCGUACAAAGGUUCCCUCAGACUGGUUGGAAAUCAGUCGAAGAGUGUAAAGGCAGAAGGGAGCUUGACUGCGAGAAGUACAGUUCGAGCAGGGUGGAAACACGGUCUUAGUGAUCCGACGGUGCUGUGUGGAGGGGCCGUCGGUCAACGGAUAAAAGUUACUCUAGGAUAACAGGCUGAUCUCCCCCAAGAGUUCACAUCGACGGGGAGGUUUGGCACCUCGAUGUCGGCUCAUCGCAACCUGGGGCGGAAGUACGUCCCAAGGGUUGGGCUGUUCGCCCAUUAAAGCGGUACGUGAGCUGGGUUCAGAACGUCGUGAGACAGUUCGGUCCAUAUCCGAUGUAGGCGUGAGAAUAUUGAGAGGAGCCUUCCUUAGUACGAGAGGACCGGGAAGGACGCACCGCUGGUGUACCUGUUAUGAUGCCAAUUGUAAACGCAGGGUAGCCAAGUGCGGAGAGGAUAACCGCUGAAAGCAUCUAAGUGGGAAGCCCACCUCAAGAUGAGUAUUCUGGUGUAAGGUCACGGGAAGACGACCCGUAAAUAGGCACGAGGUGGAAGUGCAGAGAUGUAUGAAGCCGAAGUGUACUAAUAGACCGUCGGCUUGAUC
rnacentral:rRNA from 1 species